rnacentral:rRNA from 1 species
UGGGGAAUAUUGCACAAUGGGCGCAAGCCUGAUGCAGCCAUGCCGCGUGUGUGAAGAAGGCCUUCGGGUUGUAAAGCACUUUCAGCGGGGAGGAAGGCGAUAAGGUUAAUAACCUCAUCGAUUGACGUUACCCGCAGAAGAAGCACCGGCUAACUCCGUGCCAGCAGCCGCGGUAAUACGGAGGGUGCAAGCGUUAAUCGGAAUUACUGGGCGUAAAGCGCACGCAGGCGGUCUGUCAAGUCGGAUGUGAAAUCCCCGGGCUCAACCUGGGAACUGCAUUCGAAACUGGCAGGCUAGAGGCUUGUAGAGGGGGGUAGAAUUCCAGGUGUAGCGGUGAAAUGCGUAGAGAUCUGGGGGAAUACCGGUGGCGAAGGCGGCCCCCUGGACAAAGACUGACGCUCAGGUGCGAAAGCGUGGGGAGCAAACAGG